rnacentral:rRNA from 1 species
CAUAAACGACUCUCGGCAACGGAUAUCUCGGCUCACGCAUCGAUGAAGAACGUAGCAAAAUGCGAUACUUGGUGUGAAUUGCAGAAUCCCGUGAACCAUCGAGUUUUUGAACGCAAGUUGCGCCCGAAGCCAUUCGGUCGAGGGCACGUCUGCCUGGGCGUC